CGCAUCGGAAGGUGCGUGUUAGCCUGUCGUGCUCCUAGUAAUACCCUUAAGUCGUGGGGUUGAGCACGCUAGCUUGCUUCGGCGGACGAUUUUCGUCGUGACGGUUUGUACCACAGUUCGUUUGGACUUGGAACAUGCCAUUACGAUAGACCGCAAGAGCACCUCCCCUUGGGUCCCCCGGAUGCUUUUGAUAAUCUCGAACGCAUCUCUGGGUGUGGCUGGAGGGCAACCUCGACAACCCAAACAAAAACAUGCAACCCCUUUUAUUUAACCGAUCGCCCUGAUCGUAUUGAAAACCGUGGCUAUCGCAGCCCCCGUUUCGAAAACAAAAUGAAAAACUCUCAACAACGGAUAUCUUGGCUCUCGCAACGAUGAAGAACGCAGCGAA
rnacentral:misc_RNA from 1 species